UACAGAGACUGCAAGCGUUAUUCGGAUUCACUGGGCGUAAAGGGUGCGCAGGCGGUCGUGUGUGUCAGAUGUGAAAUCCCGGAGCUUAACUCCGGAACUGCGUCUGAAACUACACGACUAGAGCAUUGGAGAGGGAAGUGGAAUUCAUGGUGUAGCAGUGAAAUGCGUAGAUAUCAUGAGGAACACCAGAGGCGAAGGCGACUUCCUGGACAAUUGCUGACGCUCAGGCACGAAAGCAUGGGGAGCAAAAAGGG
rnacentral:rRNA from 1 species